rnacentral:siRNA from 1 species
GUCAAGAUGGCCGAGUUG